UUUAAUGUUUGAUGUUCUAACGUUGACCCGUAAUCCGGGUUGCGGACAGUGUCUGGUGGGUAGUUUGACUGGGGCGGUCUCCUCCUAAAGAGUAACGGAGGAGCACGAAGGUUGGCUAAUCCUGGUCGGACAUCAGGAGGUUAGUGCAAUGGCAUAAGCCAGCUUGACUGCGAGCGUGACGGCGCGAGCAGGUGCGAAAGCAGGUCAUAGUGAUCCGGUGGUUCUGAAUGGAAGGGCCAUCGCUCAACGGAUAAAAGGUACUCCGGGGAUAACAGGCUGAUACCGCCCAAGAGUUCAUAUCGACGGCGGUGUUUGGCACCUCGAUGUCGGCUCAUCACAUCCUGGGGCUGAAGUAGGUCCCAAGGGUAUGGCUGUUCGCCAUUUAAAGUGGUACGCGAGCUGGGUUUAGAACGUCGUGAGACAGUUCGGUCCCUAUCUGCCGUGGGCGCUGGAGAACUGAGGGGGGCUGCUCCUAGUACGAGAGGACCGGAGUGGACGCAUCACUGGUGUUCGGGUUGUCAUGCCAAUGGCACUGCCCGGUAGCUAAAUGCGGAAGAGAUAAGUGCUGAAAGCAUCUAAGCACGAAACUUGCCCCGAGAUGAGUUCUCCCUGACUCCUUGAGAGUCCUGAAGGAACGUUGAAGACGACGACGUUGAUAGGCCGGGUGUGUAAGCGCAGCGAUGCGUUGAGCUAACCGGUACUAAUGAACCGUGAGGCUUAACCUUACAACGCCGAAGGUGUUU
rnacentral:rRNA from 1 species